UUCCUCGUGGCCCAAUGGUCACGGCGUCUGGCUACGAACCAGAAGAUUCCAGGUUCAAGUCCUGGCGGGGAAGGAUUAUUUU
rnacentral:tRNA from 1 species